UAUCUAUUGCUUUGCCAUAGCAUAUGCGGUAUUAUUAAGCGUAUGUGGCGCCCGUGAAACAGCAAUGUGGCAGCUUCGUAAUUUUUUGAACACAACCGAUUCGAUUUGGAUAUAUUCUAGAGCACACAAUGAAAUGUACCAAAAGCAACUGGAGGAGUGCAUCCGUUACAAAACAUGGAAUUUGACUAAUGAUAGUGUCACUUUAGAAUAUGAAUUUGUUACCAACACCAUCACACGUGGUAUUAUGCUACACGCAAGAUUGAUGAUGUAUAAUAACACGGCUGCAAUGCAAGUCAACGAGUGGCACAGUAAGA